AGCCACAAACCCGUAGAUCCGAACUUGUGCUAACUGACCUCACAAGCUUGAUUCUAUAGGUCUCUGUCUG
rfam:Salmo salar isolate Sally breed double haploid chromosome ssa09, whole genome shotgun sequence.